GGCUGCCCUCAGCUACUGAAAAGAGUAAAUGAAAUGAGUUAUGGAGUAAUAAGGACAGUUAUGGUUGUGUUUGUUUACUGAGAGCUUCCCAUGAGCCAGGCAGGGCUUAGUCACCUUGUAUGACUUCAGAUUUUACAAAACCAGAGAGCCCGCUUCAGCACCAUGACUACUUACUAAGAUUAUACUCCUAUGACCCAGAAAUCAACCUAGAAUUGACCCCUACUAAAAUCAAUACGGGCUUCUUUCCUGGCUCAGAUGGUAAAGAAUCUGCCUGUAAUGCAGGAGACCUGGGUUCGAACCCUGGGUCGGGAAGAUCCCCUGGAGAAAACCAAUACGCUGAAAGAGGGGACUGGCCUAAUUGGCUUAAGCGCUGACAACAUCUUUAUUGUACUGAUGAUAAAUUUCAAUCAGGAAAGAAUUUUACUCCUGUGGUCUUCAGCCUCAGGGGCAGGAGAACACCUUCGAGGGGUCUGUGCUCACGGGCAAAUGGUCUGGGGAACCUCCAGGUACAGGUGUGAUGUCAGGGACAGGUAAGUGGGUGUCACGGUGCCUUGGCACAUGUUUUUCUGAACAGGUCCUUGAAAGCAAACAUGCUGCCCGGAAGCCCACGUCCCUGCAGGAACUUAGGAAAGCCACUUGGAAUGUCUGUUCUUUUCCAUAAAGUAAGGGAAUUUGAUCUAGAUGGAGCUCCAGAAGCACCCAGCCCGUCACUGCUCCAUGCAGACUCUCUGUUCACAGAAAGUUCUGAAGACUGUGAAUCAUCGCCCAGGUGCAAUCACCACGAUUUUCAUGAUAACAGGUCUCCUUAUUUUAGCACAAACCCAAGUGUGUGUUGUAAGGAAUAAAGCUGACGGGAGGUUUGGAUGCAAUGACUUAAGGGAAGAACGAGACAGACGGUGUGCACAUCUUAUCAAGCAAGCAAACUUUCGCCCAGCACCUGGGGUGAUCGCUGCCCUGCCUCCUGCUGCUUUGCAGUCCUUUGUUAUCAUUUCCCCUCCCCACCUCCAGAUUAUGAGGUUCUUCAAGGGCAGGGCUCAAAUUGUAUUCAUGUCUUCAUUCAACAAACAUUCUUAAAAGCCUAUUACAUGCUUCAAAGGGGAUUAAAAGAAGACACGAAAUUCUUCUGUUAGGAGCUCACCGGGAGGAGGAGUCAGAGAGAAACUGGAGGCAGGAUACGAUGAGACAGACCCUGGCUGGGCAGGUGGAGCUUGAAGGUGCUGAAGAUGCUGAGAAAGGGUGAGGUUAGUAGCGGGUGGUGACAGACAGGGCUAGAAGAAUCUCUGAGGUGGGGGACUUGGGACUGAAACUGGCAGCCACGUGGCUGAUGAGAGUUUACAAAGAGAGACAGCACCCGUGCUCACAGGGAACUUGAUGCGCUUGAAAUAGUGCAAAGAGACCCCUGAGCCAUGGCAGAAACAAAAGGCAGGAAGUUAGGACCCUCCAGGGACUUCCCUGGUGGUCCAGUGGUUAAGAAUCUGCCUUCCAAUGCAGGGGAUGCAGGUUCAAUCUCCUGUAGGGGAACUGAGAUCCCACAUGCUGCAUAGCAAUGAAGACCCGAUGCAGCCAAAUAAAAUAAAUGGAAAAAAAAAAAAAAGAAAAACCCCGAACAAAC
ensembl:lncRNA